rnacentral:rRNA from 1 species
AGAAUCAACGCUGGCGGCGUGCCUAACACAUGCAAGUCGAACGAGAAAGUGGGAGCAAUCCUACGAGUAAAGUGGCGCACGGGUGAGUAACACGUGACUAACCUACCCUUGAGUGGGGGAUAACCUAGGGAAACCUGGGCUAAUACCGCAUAAUACCUACGGGUCAAAGGAGCAAUUCGCUUUAGGAGGGGGUCGCGGCAGAUUAGUUAGUUGGCGGGGUAAUGGCCCACCAAGACAGUGAUCUGUA